GAGGCCUGGCGGCAUGCUAUACAUGCAGUAGAACGCUGAAGAGAGGAGCUUGCUCUUCUUGGAUGAGUUGCGAACGGGUGAGUAACGCGUAGGUAACCUGCCUUGUAGCGGGGGAUAACUAUUGGAAACGAUAGCUAAUACCGCAUAACAAUGGAUGACACAUGUCAUUUAUUUGAAAGGGGCAAUUGCUCCACUACAAGAUGGACCUGCGUUGUAUUAGCUAGUAGGUGAGGUAAUGGCUCACCUAGGCGACGAUACAUAGCCGACCUGAGAGGGUGAUCGGCCACACUGGGACUGAGACACGGCCCAGACUCCUACGGGAGGCAGCAGUAGGGAAUCUUCGGCAAUGGGGGCAACCCUGACCGAGCAACGCCGCGUGAGUGAAGAAGGUUUUCGGAUCGUAAAGCUCUGUUGUAAGUCAAGAACGGGUGUGAGAGUGGAAAGUUCACACUGUGACGGUAGCUUACCAGAAAGGGACGGCUAACUACGUGCCAGCAGCCGCGGUAAUACGUAGGUCCCGAGCGUUGUCCGGAUUUAUUGGGCGUAAAGCGAGCGCAGGCGGUUUGAUAAGUCUGAAGUUAAAGGCUGUGGCUCAACCAUAGUUCGCUUUGGAAACUGUCAAACUUGAGUGCAGAAGGGGAGAGUGGAAUUCCAUGUGUAGCGGUGAAAUGCGUAGAUAUAUGGAGGAACACCGGUGGCGAAAGCGGCUCUCUGGUCUGUAACUGACGCUGAGGCUCGAAAGCGUGGGGAGCGAACAGGAUUAGAUACCCUGGUAGUCCACGCCGUAAACGAUGAGUGCUAGGUGUUGGAUCCUUUCCGGGAUUCAGUGCCGCAGCUAACGCAUUAAGCACUCCGCCUGGGGAGUACGACCGCAAGGUUGAAACUCAAAGGAAUUGACGGGGGCCCGCACAAGCGGUGGAGCAUGUGGUUUAAUUCGAAGCAACGCGAAGAACCUUACCAGGUCUUGACAUCCCGAUGCUAUUUCUAGAGAUAGAAAGUUACUUCGGUACAUCGGUGACAGGUGGUGCAUGGUUGUCGUCAGCUCGUGUCGUGAGAUGUUGGGUUAAGUCCCGCAACGAGCGCAACCCCUAUUGUUAGUUGCCAUCAUUCAGUUGGGCACUCUAGCGAGACUGCCGGUAAUAAACCGGAGGAAGGUGGGGAUGACGUCAAAUCAUCAUGCCCCUUAUGACCUGGGCUACACACGUGCUACAAUGGUUGGUACAACGAGUUGCGAGUCGGUGACGGCGAGCUAAUCUCUUAAAGCCAAUCUCAGUUCGGAUUGUAGGCUGCAACUCGCCUACAUGAAGUCGGAAUCGCUAGUAAUCGCGGAUCAGCACGCCGCGGUGAAUACGUUCCCGGGCCUUGUACACACCGCCCGUCACACCACGAGAGUUUGUAACACCCGAAGUCGGUGAGGUAACCUUUGGAGCCAGCCGCCUAAGGUGGA
rnacentral:rRNA from 1 species